AGUGAACGCUGGCGGUAGGCCUAACACAUGCAAGUCGAAUGGCAGCACAGUAAGAGCUUGCUCUUACGGGUGGCGAGUGGCGGACGGGUGAGGAAUACAUCGGAAUCUACUUUUUCGUGGGGGAUAACGUAGGGAAACUUACGCUAAUACCGCAUACGACCUACGGGUGAAAGCAGGGGAUCUUCGGACCUUGCGCGAUUGAAUGAGCCGAUGUCGGAUUAGCUAGUUGGCGGGGUAAAGGCCCACCAAGGCGACGAUCCGUAGCUGGUCUGAGAGGAUGAUCAGCCUCACUGGAACUGAGACACGGUCCAGACUCCUACGGGAGGCAGCAGUGGGGAAUAUUGGACAAAGGGCGCAAGCCUGAUCCAGCCAUACCGCGUGGGUGAAGAAGGCCUUCGGGUUGUAAAGCCCUUUUGUUGGGAAAGAAAAGCAGCAGGUUAAUACCCCGCUGUUCUGACGGUACCCAAAGAAUAAGCACCGGCUAACUUCGUG
rnacentral:rRNA from 1 species